UUCAAGGGACAGAGAACGAGCUUGCUCCUUCAACGUUAGCGGCGGACGGGUGAGUAACACGUGGGCAACCUACCUUAUAGUUUGGGAUAACUCCGGGAAACCGGGGCUAAUACCGAAUAAUCUGUUUCACCUCAUGGUGAAACACUGAAAGACGGUUUCGGCUGUCGCUAUAGGAUGGGCCCGCGGCGCAUUAGCUAGUUGGUGAGGUAACGGCUCACCAAGGCGACGAUGCGUAGCCGACCUGAGAGGGUGAUCGGCCACACUGGGACUGAGACACGGCCCAGACUCCUACGGGAGGCAGCAGUAGGGAAUCUUCCACAAUGGGCGAAAGCCCUGAUGGAGCCAACGCCGCGUGAAGUGAAAAAGGAUUUCGGUUUCGUAAACUCUGUUGUAAGGGAAGAACAAGUACAGUAAUUAACUGGCUGUACCUUGACGGUACCUUAUUANAAAGCCCACGGCUUACUAACGUGCCAGCACCCGCCGGUAAAUACGUAGGUGGCAA
rnacentral:rRNA from 1 species